rnacentral:ncRNA from 1 species
GGGGUGAAUAAAAAGGGGGUUAGCACUCCCCUUGACAAGGAUGUAAGUGGCCCCUGUCGCCUGCAACACACAUAUGGUUAAGGCAUUGCCACCUACUUCGUGGCAUCUCUAACCAUGUUUUUUU